UACGUAGGGGGCAAGCGUUGUCCGGAUUUAUUGGGCGUAAAGAGCGUGUAGGCGGUCUGGUAGGUCCGUUGUGAAAACUCGAGGCUCAACCUCGAGACGCCGAUGGAAACCAUCAGACUAGAGUCCGGAAGAGGAGAGUGGAAUUCCUGGUGUAGCGGUGAAAUGCGCAGAUAUCAGGAAGAACACCGGAGGCGAAGGCGGCUUGCUGGGCUCGGUCUGACGCUGAGGCGCGAAAGCGUGGGGAGCGAACAGG
rnacentral:rRNA from 1 species